UACGUAGGGUGCGAGCGUUAAUCGGAAUUACUGGGCGUAAAGCGUGCGCAGGUGGUUUGUUAAGUCAGAUGUGAAAGCCCCGAGCUUAACUUGGGAACUGCGUUUGAAACUGGCAAGCUAGAGUCUGUCAGAGGGGGGUAGAAUUCCACGUGUAGCAGUGAAAUGCGUAGAGAUGUGGAGGAAUACCAAUGGCGAAGGCAGCCCCCUGGGAUAAGACUGACGCUCAUGCACGAAAGCGUGGGGAGCAAACAGGAUUAGAUACCCUGGUAGUCCACGCCCUAAACGAUGUCAACUGGUUGUUGGGCAACUUGAUUGUUCAGUAACGAAGCUAACGCGAGAAGUUGACCGCCUGGGGAGUACGGUCGCAAGAUUAAAACUCAA
rnacentral:rRNA from 1 species